AAUAAUAAAGAAAUAUUUUUUUAAAGGUUUAAGCAAUUGAGGUAGACUUUCGGACUAUAGAGUAACUGACAACUGCAACAGCAGAGCGUUUCAGUCGGGCUCUGGGAUACACAACACAGACAGUUCUUCCGCUGGACUAACUUAGAUUACCAAACAGCUGAUUAUGAACUGCUACCGAGUGAUUCAAAGGUUGCAUAUCUCUUUUAAUUACCAAUAAUAAAAAUGGACAUAAAAAAAAGACCUAGAUUACCAAAACCUACUGGUACCAAUAAAAAAUAUACAUUUUUUAUUUGUGGAUUUAUAACGGUCCUCGGAUGCACACUUUAUCAAACAAUUAUUUCACCAAUUCUUAAUCCACAACCGUGGAAAGACUAUAGAGAUAAAUUGUAUGAUCAGUUACCGAAACGAACCGAAGACUAGCAAUGUACAUUUUAGUUAAUUAAAUCGAAUAUGUAAAUGUUUAAAAUUCAUUAUUACAAAUAAAUAUUGAAUAAUUUUUCAAA